AUGUUGUGGAGUUUGAUCCACAAAACACUAGGAGAUGUCAUUGCUGCUGAAGGAGACACAGUUACACUGGACUGUACUUUUGAAAUUACACAGGCCCUACUUUGUUCUGGUACAAACAAGAAGUAACUGAGUUUCCACAGUACAUGAUGAAAACUUACUCGACAUCUUUGGAUAAAGCUCCAGAGUUCCAGGAAGACAGAUUUCAUACUGGAAUCCAGGAUACGUCAGUUCCUCUGAAGAUCCAGAAGCUCCAGCUGUCAGACUCUGCUGUGUACUACUGUGCUCUGCAGUUUCAG